GGUUAAGCGACUAAGCGUACACGGUGGAUGCCUAGGCAAUCAGAGGCGAUGAAGGACGUGCUAAUCUGCGAUAAGCGUCGGUAAGGUGAUAUGAACCGUUACAACCGACGAUUUCCGAAUGGGGAAACCCAGUGCAAUUCGUUGCACUAUCGUUUGAUGAAUACAUAGUCAAACGAAGCGAACCGGGGGAACUGAAACAUCUCAGUACCCCGAGGAAAAGAAAUCAACCGAGAUUCCCCUAGUAGCGGCGAGCGAACGGGGAGCAGCCCAGAGUCUUAAUCAGCAUUAGCAUCAGGAGAACGGUCUGGAAAGUCCGGCAGUAAAGGGUGAUAGCCCCGUAUCCGAAGGUGUUAGUGUUGUGAACUCGACGAGUAGGGCGGGACACGUGUUAUCCUGUCUGAAUAUGGGGGGACCAUCCUCCAAGGCUAAAUACUCCUGAUUGACCGAUAGUGAACCAGUACCGUGAGGGAAAGGCGAAAAGAACCCCGGCGAG
rnacentral:rRNA from 1 species